AUCGAACGCUGGCGGCAGGCCUAACACAUGCAAGUCGAACGAACCUUUCGGGGUUAGUGGCGGACGGGGGAGUGACACGGGGGAACGUGCCUUUAGGUUCGGAAUAACUCAGGGGAACUUGUCCUAAUACGGACGGUGCUCUUCCGGGGAAAGAGUUAUCGCCUUUAGAGCGGCCUGGGACUGCUUAGCUUGUUGGUUGAGGAAAUGGCUCUCGAAGGCGAGGUUCAGUAGCUGGUCCGAGAGGCUGGUCCGCCAAAUUGGGAGUGAGACACGGCCCAAAAUACUACGGGAGGGAGCAGUGGGGAAUCUAGCGAAAUGGGGUAUAGGCUGACGCAGCCAUGCCGGGUAAAUGAUGAAGGUCUUAGGAAAGUGAAAUUCUUUCACAGGUGGCGAUAAUGACGGUACCCGGAGAAGAAGCACCGGCUAACUUCGUG
rnacentral:rRNA from 1 species